UUAAUAUGUUUGUAUAAUAACACUGAUAACACUGAUAGCAGUAGUUUUAAACUUUGGUAGGCAUCUAAAAAGACCAUAGCCCCGCCCUGGGGCCGCCUACCGAAGCAACGAAUAGGUAGAAAUAACAAUGGUUUGGAGUCUGUAACUCUGUAAUGAUCCCUCCGCUGGUUCACCAACGGAGA
rnacentral:misc_RNA from 1 species